ensembl:lncRNA
GCUGCCAUGAAGGGCUGUAGGGCUGCCAUGAGGAGACGUAGGCUGCCAUGAAGGGCUGUAGGGCUGCCAUGAGGGGCUGUAGGGCUGCCAUGAGGAGACGUAGGCUGCCAUGAAGGGCUGUAGGUUUGCCAUGAGGAGAUGUAGGCUGCCAUGAAGGGCUGUAGGGCUGCCAUGAGGAGACGUAGGCUGCCAUGAAGGGCUGUAGGGCUGCCAUGAGGAGACGUAGGCUGCCAUGAAGGGCUGUAGGGCUGCCAUGAGGAGAUGUAGGCUGCCAUGAAGGGCUGUAGGGCUGCCAUGAGGAGAUGUAGGCUGCCAUGAAGGGCUGUAGGUUUGCCAUGAGGAGAUGUAGGCUGCCAUGAAGGGCUGUAGGGUUGCCAUGAGGAGCUACAGGCUGCUAUGAGGCCUCCCCUCAGCCUCCUCCUCUUCUCUGGGCUGAAUAAGCCUGUAGGCCUCAGCUGUUCCUCACAGAUCUUGCCCUCUAGAUGAGUGAACAGCAUACACACGGGCAAAUAAAGUGCACUCCCGGGGAGGGAAGGAUACAGAUUUUUUUCCUACCUCUUGCAAAAAGGGAUUAUUUUCCCCGUGGCUCUGGCCCUUUUUUCUUCUCAACCCUUGUCACCACCCUGGGGUGCUCACACAGCUGUGCAUGCUCUAACAGAAGGAUUUUCGGAGGGUCUUUAUUCCGACAGAGAAGCAAUUUCCCACUCGGUUUUAAUUCUUCUUAAUAUGCUGCCUUCAUCUUCGGUACUUUGUGGUGUGAAAUAGCUGCCAUGUUUCACACUGGGAGAGCACAAAUCCCUCUCUUCUGGCCCCAGAGGGGCAGAUGUACUCACAAACGGAACCUCUCGUUCUUUUCCUGUUUCCCCUUUAUCUAUGGACAGAUUUCCUCCUGUCAUUUCCUCCUCCUUGAUCUUGCAUUGUUUCUUUUUUUCCCCCUGUUCCCAUCUCCUUCUUAUCCUCUUUUUGGGGUUUCUGGAGUCCCUGCCUUCCAUGCAUAAAACCAGCAGCUCGCUUUAAUCAAGCACGCCAAUUAAAGAACUCUCAAUUACAGACGUCUGCCGUGUCACG